GGUUGACCUCGGAUCAGGUAGGGAUACCCGCUGAACUUAAGCAUAUCAAUAAGCGGAGGAAAAG
rnacentral:rRNA from 1 species